rnacentral:rRNA from 1 species
AAUGAACGCUGGCGGCAUGCCUUACACAUGCAAGUCGAACGGCAGCAUGACCUAGCUUGCUAGGUUGAUGGCGAGUGGCGAACGGGUGAGUAAUGCAUCGGAACGUGGCUUUUAGUGGGGGAUAACGUAGCGAAAGUUACGCUAAUACCGCAUAUUCUCUGAGGAGGAAAGCAGGGGACCUUCGGGCCUUGCGCUUGAAGAGCGGCCGAUGUCGGAUUAGCUAGUUGGUGAGGUAAAGGCUCACCAAGGCAACGAUCCGUAGCGGGUCUGAGAGGAUGAUCCGCCACACUGGGACUGAGACACGGCCCAGACUCCUACGGGAGGCAGCAGUGGGGAAUUUUGGACAAUGGGCGCAAGCCUGAUCCAGCCAUGCCGCGUGAGUGAAGAAGGCCUUCGGGUUGUAAAGCUCUUUCGGCUGGGAAGAAAUCGCACCCUCUAAUACAGGGUGUGGAUGACGGUACCAGCAUAAGAAGCACCGGCUAACUACGUG